GUUCUUUCGGGGACAUCCGAUAAAGUUGGAACGAUACAGAGAAAAUUAGCAUGGGCAAGGAUGACACGCACAAAUCACAAAGUUUCCAUAUCAGC
rnacentral:snRNA from 1 species